AUUUAACUUGUGUGUGUUCCAGGUAUCAUUAUAAUCACAGACGGAGUGACUAGUGUUCCGGAUGUAGCUGUGUGUGAAACACUGCUGAACCAGCUCAGGAGUGGAACCAUUGCCUGCUCCUUUGUGCAGGUUGGUGGUGCGUACUCCUACGACUGCAGCUUUGGCUACAUCCCCAAUGUAGAGCUGAUGAAGUUCAUCUCAUUAGCUACAUUUGGUUCAUACCUGCCCAGCUGUCCUGAAGUGGACGUGAACAACCAGGAGAUGAAUGUGUACCACAAGGCCUUCUUAACCUACUCCUUCCUUAAGACCCCGGAGUCUAUGAACUCAGAGUACUUCUGUGUUUCCCAGCACAAACUGUUCAAUGAGCACCUG